rnacentral:rRNA from 1 species
GAUGAACGCUGGCGGCGUGCCUAAUACAUGCAAGUCGAGCGAACGGACGAUAAGCUUGCUUCUCUGAUGUUAGCGGCGGACGGGUGAGUAACACGUGGAUAACCUACCUAUAAGACUGGUAUAACUUCGGGAAACCGGAGCUAAUCCCGGAUAAUAUUUUGCACCGCAUGGUUCAAAAGUGAAAGACGGUCUUGCUGUCACUUCUAGAUGCAUCCGCGCUGCAUUAGCUAGUUGGUAGGGUAACGGCUUACCAAGGCAACGAUGCAUAGCCUACCUGAGAGGGUGAUCGGCCACACUGGAACUGAGACACGGUCCAGACUCCUACGGGAGGCAGCAGUAGGGAAUCUGCCGCAAUGGGCGAAAGCCUGACGGAGCAACGCCGCGUGAGUGAUGAAGGUCUUCGGAUCGUAAAACUCUGUUAUUAGGGAAGAACAUAUGUGUAAGUAACUGUGCACAGCGUGACGGUACCUAAUCAGAAAGCAACGGCUAACUACGUG